GUCGAGGGAGGAGCCUUCGGGCUUCGACCGGCGUACGGGUGCGUAACGCGUAUACAAUCUGCCUUUCCAUAGGGAUAGCCCGAAGAAAUUUGGAUUAAUACCUAAUGGUAUAUAGGAGUGGCAUCACAUUUAUAUUAAAGCUGAGGCGGUGAAAGAUGAGUAUGCGUUCUAUUAGCUAGUUGGAGAGGUAACGGCUCCCCAAGGCUACGAUAGAUAGGGGUUCUGAGAGGGAUAUCCCCCACACUGGUACUGAGAUACGGACCAGACUCCUACGGGAGGCAGCAGUGAGGAAUAUUGGACAAUGGUCGGAAGACUGAUCCAGCCAUGCCGCGUGCAGGAAGACGGCCUUAUGGGUUGUAAACUGCUUUUGCAGGGGAAGAAUAAGGACUACGAGUAGUUUGAUGACGGUACUCUGCGAAUAAGCAUCGGCUAACUCCGUGCCAGCAGCCGCGGUAAUACGGAGGAUGCGAGCGUUAUCCGGAAUCAUUGGGUUUAAAGGGUCCGUGGGCGGGCUAAUAAGUCAGAGGUGAAAGCGCUCAGCUCAACUGAGCAACUGCCUUUGAAACUGUUAGUCUUGAAUGGUUGUGAAGUAGUUGGAAUGUGUAGUGUAGCGGUGAAAUGCUUAGAUAUUACACAGAACACCGAUAGCGAAGGCAUAUUACUAACAAUUAAUUGACGCUGAUGGACGAAAGCGUGGGGAGCGAACAGGAUUAGAUACCCUGGUAGUCCACGCUGUAAACGAUGGAUACUAGCUGUUUGGUUGCAAGACUGAGUGGCUAAGCGAAAGU
rnacentral:rRNA from 1 species